ACCCGCCUAGCCCAACUGGCAGAGGCGCUGCGCUUAGAACGCAGAGGUUCACGGUUCGAAUCCGUGGGUGGGUA
rnacentral:tRNA from 1 species